rnacentral:misc_RNA from 1 species
GAUGAAGAACGUAGCGAAAUGCGAUAGGUAAUGUGAAUUGCAGAAUUCAGUGAAUCAUCGAAUCUUUGAACGCACAUUGCGCCCCCUGGUAUUCCGGGGGGCAUGCCUGUCCGAGCGUCAUUACAACCCUCAAGCUCAGCUUGGUGUUGGGCCCCGCCGCCCCGGCGGGCCCUAAAGUCAGUGGCGGUGCCGUCCGGCUCCGAGCGUAGUAAUUCUUCUCGCUCUGGAGGUCCGGUCGUGUGCUCGCCAGCAACCCCCAAUUUUUUUCAGGUUGACCUCGGAUCAGGUAGGGAUACCCGCUGAACUUAAGAAUAUCAAUAAGCGGAGGA